CACGUAGGGUGCGAGCGUUGUCCGGAAUUAUUGGGCGUAAAGAGCUCGUAGGCGGUGUGUCGCGUCGGCCGUGAAAACUUGCAGCUUAACUGUGGGCGUGCGGUCGAUACGGGCAUCACUGGAGUUCGGCAGGGGAGACUGGAAUUCCUGGUGUAGCGGUGAAAUGCGUAGAUAUCGGGAGGAACACCAGUGGCGAAGGCGAUUACCUGGGGUUGUUCUGACGCUGAGGAGCGAAAGCUAGGGGAGCAAACGGG
rnacentral:rRNA from 1 species